CUCAGGAUGAACGCUAGCGGCAGGCUUAACACAUGCAAGUCGAGGGGUAACAGGGUGCUUGCACCGCUGACGACCGGCGCACGGGUGCGUAACGCGUAUAGAACCUACCUUUUACAGGAGAAUACCCCAGAGAAAUUUGGAAUAAUGCUCCAUAGUAUUAUUGAAUGGCAUCAUUUGAUAAUUAAACAUUUAUGGGUAAAAGAUGGCUAUGCGUUCUAUUAGCUAGAUGGUAAGGUAACGGCUUACCAUGGCAACGAUAGAUAGGGGUCCUGAGAGGGAGAUCCCCCACACUGGUACUGAGACACGGACCAGACUCCUACGGGAGGCAGCAGUGAGGAAUAUUGGACAAUGGAGGCAACUCUGAUCCAGCCAUGCCGCGUGCAGGAAGACGGUCCUAUGGAUUGUAAACUGCUUUUAUACAGGAAGAAACACUCCCUCGUGAGGGAGCUUGACGGUACUGUAUGAAUAAGCACCGGCUAACUCCGUGCCAGCAGCCGCGGUAAUACGGAGGGUGCAAGCGUUAUCCGGAAUCAUUGGGUUUAAAGGGUCCGUAGGCGGGCUAAUAAGUCAGGGGUGAAAUCCAACAGCUUAACUGUUGAAUUGCCUUUGAUACUGUUAGUCUUGAGUUAUAUGGAAGUAGAUAGAAUGUGUAGUGUAGCGGUGAAAUGCUUAGAGAUUACACAGAAUACCGAUUGCGAAGGCAGUCUACUACGUAUAUACUG
rnacentral:rRNA from 1 species